AACGCUGGCGGCAGGCCUAACACAUGCAAGUCGAGCGCUCAUCUUCGGAUGGGAGCGGCGCACGGGUGAGUAACACGUGGGAACCUACCUUGAAGUAUGGAAUAACUGAGGGAAACUUCAGCUAAUACCGUAUACGCCCUACGGGGGAAAGAUUUAUCGCUUCAAGACGGGCCCGCGUUGGAUUAGCUGGUUGGUGAGGUAAUGGCUCACCAAGGCGACGAUCCAUAGCUGAUUUGAGAGAAUGAUCAGCCACACUGGGACUGAGACACGGCCCAGACUCCUACGGGAGGCAGCAGUGGGGAAUAUUGGACAAUGGGCGCAGGCCUGAUCCAGUAAUGCCGCGUGAGUGAUGAAGGCCUUAGGGUUGUAAAGCUCUUUCGCACGCGACGAUGAUGACGGUACCAUCAGAAGAAGCCCCGGCUAACUUCGUGCCAGCAGCCGCGGUAAUACGAAGGGGGCUAGCGUUGUUCGGAAUUACUGGGCGUAAAGCGCGCGUAGGCGGCUUUGUCAGUCAGGGGUGAAAUCCCGGGGCUUAACCUCGGAACUGCCUUUGAUACUGCAAGGCUUGAGUCUGUGAGAGGAUGGUGGAAUACCCAGUGUAGAGGUGAAAUUCGU
rnacentral:rRNA from 1 species